GCUCCACAACCUAACAUUGGGCUCUCUCGUUUGAUUUAUAACAUUGGUGCUUUCAUUGAGAGUCUCACGCGUUGGAUCGUGACUCGGAAUGGUGGCCUGCGUGCCAGGAGUGGUGAUCUGGACCCAAGAGGGAUGCCAGUUGUGACUAACUGGGUGUAACCGUGACUAACGAGGAUCGAUCCACGUGUGGAGCCGCGUGUUGGGCCGUGACUCGGAGUGGUGGCCUGCGUGCCAAGAGUACUGGUGGUCUGGAUCCAAGAGGGAUGCCAGCCGUGACUAACU
rnacentral:lncRNA from 1 species